rnacentral:hammerhead_ribozyme from 1 species
GCAUUGUUGAGGAGUCCUACAAUAGGACGAUACGGUCGUCCAGUGC